CAUAGGUUAAUGAGGCGAACCGGGGGAACUGAAACAUCUAAGUACCCCGAGGAAAAGAAAUCAACCGAGAUUCCCCCAGUAGCGGCGAGCGAACGGGGAGCAGCCCAGAGCCUGAAUCAGUGUGUGUGUUAGUGGAAGCGUCUGGAAAGGCGCGCGAUACAGGGUGACAGCCCCGUACACAAAAAUGCACAUACUGUGAGCUCGAUGAGUAGGGCGGGACACGUGGUAUCCUGUCUGAAUAUGGGGGGACCAUCCUCCAAGGCUAAAUACUCCUGACUGACCGAUAGUGAACCAGUACCGUGAGGGAAAGGCGAAAAGAACCCCGGCGAGGGGAGUGAAAAAGAACCUGAAACCGUGUACGUACAAGCAGUGGGAGCACGCUUAGGCGUGUGACUGCGUACCUUUUGUAUAAUGGGUCAGCGACUUAUAUUCUGUAGCAAGGUUAACCGAAUAGGGGAGCCGAAGGGAAACCGAGUCUUAACUGGGCGUUAAGUUGCAGGGUAUAGACCCGAAACCCGGUGAUCUAGCCAUGGGCAGGUUGAAGGUUGGGUAACACUAACUGGAGGACCGAACCGACUAAUGUUGAAAAAUUAGCGGAUGACUUGUGGCUGGGGGUGAAAGGCCAAUCAAACCGGGAGAUAGCUGGUUCUCCCCGAAAGCUAUUUAGGUAGCGCCUCGUGAAUUCAUCUCCGGGGGUAGAGCACUGUUUCGGCAAGGGGGUCAUCCCGACUUACCAACCCGAUGCAAACUGCGAAUACCGGAGAAUGUUAUCACGGGAGACACACGGCGGGUGCUAACGUCCGUCGUGAAGAGGGAAACAACCCAGACCGCCAGCUAAGGUCCCAAAGUCAUGGUUAAGUGGGAAACGAUGUGGGAAGGCCCAGACAGCCAGGAUGUUGGCUUAGAAGCAGCCAUCAUUUAAAGAAAGCGUAAUAGCUCACUGGUCGAGUCGGCCUGCGCGGAAGAUGUAACGGGGCUAAACCAUGCACCGAAGCUGCGGCAGCGACGCUUAUGCGUUGUUGGGUA
rnacentral:rRNA from 1 species